UGGGGAAUCUUGGACAAUGGGGGCAACCCUGAUCCAGCCAUGCCGCGUGAGUGAUGAAGGCCUUAGGGUCGUAAAGCUCUUUCGCCUGUGAAGAUAAUGACGGUAGCAGGUAAAGAAACCCCGGCUAACUCCGUGCCAGCAGCCGCGGUAAUACGGAGGGGGUUAGCGUUGUUCGGAAUUACUGGGCGUAAAGCGCACGUAGGCGGACUGGAAAGUUGGGGUGAAAUCCCAGGGCUCAACCCUGGAACUGCCUCCAAAACUAUCAGUCUAGAGUUCGAGAGAGGUGAGUGGAAUUCCGAGUGUAGAGGUGAAAUUCGUAGAUAUUCGGAGGAACACCAGUGGCGAAGGCGGCUCACUGGCUCGAUACUGACGCUGAGGUGCGAAAGUGU
rnacentral:rRNA from 1 species